GACGUAGGGCGCGAGCGUUGUCCGGAUUUAUUGGGCGUAAAGAGCUCGUAGGCGGUUCGGUAAGUCGGGUGUGAAACCUCCAGGCUCAACCUGGAGACGCCACCCGAUACUGCUGUGACUAGAGUCCGGUAGGGGAGCGUGGAAUUCCUGGUGUAGCGGUGAAAUGCGCAGAUAUCAGGAGGAACACCAGCGGCGAAGGCAGCUGCUCUGGGACGUUACUGAC
rnacentral:rRNA from 1 species